ACGCUCGACACCUACUGGAGGCAGCAGUGGGGAAUAUUGCACAAUGGGGGAAACCCUGAUGCAGCGACGCCGCGUGAAGGAUGAAGUAUUUCGGUAUGUAAACUUCUAUCAGCAGGGAAGAAAGUGACGGUACCUGACUAAGAAGCCCCGGCUAACUACGUGCCAGCAGCCGCGGUAAUCUGAGGCGGCUGGACAAGGC
rnacentral:rRNA from 1 species